AGAGUUUGAUCCUGGCUCAGAAUAAACGCUGGCGGCGUGCUUAACACAUGCAAGUCGAGCGAGAAAGGUCUUCGGACUGAGUAAAGCGGCAAACGGGUGAGUAACACGUAGGAAUCUGCCUUUCAGUGAGGAAUACCCUCGAGAAAUCGAGGUUAAUACUGCAUACGUCUUGAAAAAGAGAAAGAUGGCCUCUCUGCUGUCGCUGAAAGAUGAGCCUGCGUACUAUUAGCUAGUUGGUAGGGUAAAAGCCUACCAAGGCGAUGAUGGUUAGCCGGCCUGAGAGGGUGUACGGCCACACUGGAACUUAGACACGGUCCAGACUCCUAUGGGAGGCAGCAGCGAGGAAUAUUGCGCAAUGGGCGAAAGCCUGACGCAGCGACGCCGCGUGGAGGAUGAAGGUCUUCGGAUCGUAAACUUCUGUUAAGUGGGAAGAAAGGCGAAGCUCUAAUACAGCUUUGAUAUGACGGUACCACUAGAGAAAGCACCGGCUAACUUCGUGCCAGCAGCCGCGGUAAUACGAAGGGUGCGAGCGUUAUUCGGAUUUAUUGGGCGUAAAGGGUGCGCAGGCGGUAUGUUAAGUCAACUGUUAAAUCCCCCAGCCUAACUGGGGAUCGGCGGUAGAUACUGGCGUACUAGAGGGUGGAAGAGGGAAGUGGAAUUCUUGGAGUAGCGGUAAAAUGCGUAGAUCUCAAGAGGAACACCGAUGGCGAAGGCAGCUUCUUGGUCCACAUCUGACGCUCAUGCACGAAAGCGUGGGGAGCAAACAGGAUUAGAUACCCUGGUAGUCCACGCUGUAAACGAUGAUCACUAGACGUUAGUUCUGCUC
rnacentral:rRNA from 1 species